rnacentral:piRNA from 1 species
UGCGCUCAGUCCUCACCUCCCCCA